UUUGCUUCCAACCUUAUCUACUCCAAAUCAAUGAUUAUGUUCUCUUAUCGAGUCAAUGAUUAAAAAAAAAGGUUGAAAGCAAAACACUUUUGCCCAGUGUUGCACUAUUAUUUUGUCGAUUCCUACUUAGUAAAUAUUUAUACUACUUGCUUUCGAUAUACCCUCUUCUUUGGUUUUAGUUUUUUCUAGCUAUCUUAGUUUUGAGAAUUGUUUGCGUUAGGCAGAAGCUUCUCAUUUUCAUUUUUACUGCCACCAGCGAACUGUUAUUCGACCAUCAUCACCACCACCACCAUUGGUUCUCUCACUGUUGAUGAUCCUCGCCAUUUUUCUGUUUUUGCUUCCUCUUAAACAUGAAUCUUUCACUUCCUGUAGGUGUGGACAACAGGAACAAUGGGGGAACUGAGCCCGGUUGUCAAAAUUGAUGGACGUAUAGUUGGUGAUGGUCGAGUGGGAGCUAUGACACAGAGAUUGCAAAAUUCUUACAAGAAUCUGGCAAAGGAUUCAGGAGUGCCUAUACCAACCUAUCACAAGAGCUAAAUUACAUACUUUCCAGGUUCACCUUUAACCUAUUUGUUCAUAUGAUAUGAGGUGUCCAAAACAACAGAGAAUUUUGGAUAGAUUUUAUUUAAAAGAAUUGACUAAACAUAGGAGUAAUAAUUAAAUUCGAAUCAAAGUUGUUCAAA